CCUACGGGUGGCAGCAGUCGAGAAUCAUUCACAAUGGGGGAAACCCUGAUGGUGCGACGCCGCGUGGGGGAAUGAAGGUCUUCGGAUUGUAAACCCCUGUCAUGUGGGAGCAAAUUAAAAAGAUAGUACCACAAGAGGAAGAGACGGCUAACUCUGUGCCAGCAGCCGCGGUAAUACAGAGGUCUCAAGCGUUGUUCGGAAUCACUGGGCGUAAGGCGUGCGUAGGCUGUUGCGUAAGUCGUGUGUGAAAGGCGCGGGCUCAACCCGCGGAAGGCCCAUGAUACUGGGAGACUAGAGUAAUGGAGGGGGAACCGGAAUUCUCGGUGUAGCAGUGAAAUGCGUAGAUAUCGAGAGGAACACUCGUGGCGAAGGCGGGUUCCUGGACAUUAACUGACGCUGAGGCACGAAGGCCAGGGGAGCGAAAGGGAUUAGAUACCCCUGUAGUC
rnacentral:rRNA from 1 species